GAAUGUAAGGGCGAUUUGGCUGAGAUCUGUCACCACAAUGAUUGCCAGGGUUGAUUCUGAUCUCUGUGUCCCUUGCAAAGCUGUGCCCUCAGUUGAAGAUGAUGACCUUCUCCAGCAGUGGAGGACCAUCCUUGGGUAAAGGGUAUAGGAGCAGAUAUACUCUCAUGCUAUAACCUCCAAGCAAGCUCUCAAACACCGCAAUGGCUGCUUUCUAAGUUGGUUGCACUGCAGUUGCCAUGAUUUCCUUUCAGUAUCAUCCCGAGGAAUCUCUUG
rnacentral:sRNA from 1 species